rnacentral:lncRNA from 1 species
GUUUUCUUUAUGUCCUUCCCCCUAAAAGUGUAAUCUGACCAUUAAUCCUUGUUAAUCCAGAGGCCUGGCGGAGCAACGCCGAGUGCGGACUGGACAACAUGGCGUUCUGGUACCAAAGCGGGCCGGAAAACAUCGGAGAGCCGGUCUGGAGCAUGCUGGACAGCAAGCAUAAGAGAAUGGAGCUGAACAGCACCCUUGUGUGUUUCCAGAGGGAGCAGAACCUGUAGCAGACGGGCUAUGCAGCUGCAGUCACAGUGGACGGAGGUUAGGGAACGAGAGCACAGGGCCUGGGUGCGCAACAGGCAGCUACUCCAGGACUUCCAGAAGGCCCAGGAAACUCUGAAAGACCUGGCUGCUCAAACUGCAGCCAUGGGCACCAUCCGCGUUGAGUAUGAGAAGCAGCUGGAACAGGAGUUCUCUCGAUGGCAGCAGAGGCUGAAUGAGAAGAGGCUGCAGCGCAAGGAGGCGGAGCUGCAUGUAAAAGAUUUUCUGCUGAGACGAGAGGAGAACAGGAGCGACAUUGACAGCGGGCUUCCUGGGCUAGCCCAUUCUCACUCUCCUGCUGGUCCCUCCUACCUCACCAAUACACCCCUUACUCUGCACACUGACCCAGUAAAGAAGAGCAGAGCCUUGAAAAAUACUACAACAGCCUUCCACGAAGAAGACAGUACCCCACACCUGAUCUGGAAUUCCAUGUCGCAUCCCUCCUGGUUGACACAGGUUGAGCCUCAGACAUCUGCUUCACAAGCUCAGACUCUACAUAACAUCAAGGCCAAUGUUUCCAUGGAGGAUAGGCGUUUUCAGGAACAUUCCAGAGCUGGGUACCCUUUCCAACUCCCCCUGCCUUCUCCUGCGAUCCAGCCCUUUGACCCCCGUUGGCUCCUCCCUCCCAUAGAGCCUCUGUCAAGCUGGUAUGGUUUGUACACUGGAUUCCCAGUCAGGCCCCAGUUUACAUCCCUGCAGGUGCCAUGGCCAGGGUUUCCCAGUCUUGAUCCUAGAGCUUGGGGUACAAGCAAAGUGCAAGAACAGGAAGCCAAAGAGGGCAUACACACUUCAUCCAGAAGAUGGGAGUGGGAAGGGAGGGAUGGUGGAGUCCAUCCCCUAGAGGGGAGCAGGUGCCUGAGGAAGAAGAGGUCCAGUGACCAGUCUUCUGAGCUGGAUGUCAGACCAGUGCGUCUGUCCAGUGCUCCUGGGGUCAGCAGUGGGAGAAGCUCGGCCUGCAGUGGUGCCCCAAGCAAGAGUUGCUCCAGGGUGCCAAGGAAGAGGAAAGACAAGACAGGAAAGAUCUCAGAAAGUCACACAGUUCAAAAGGAAAUCUCUUGCAAAGGGUCUGUCUCUACUCCAGUCUAAAUCUUAUGGAUUUUAAAGAUUUAUAAGCAACAAGUUCAAUUACUUGGUAUUUUAAGUCUUAAUACAUUUUCAGAAAUUUGAUUGCAUUGCACUUGGAAACAUUCUG